rnacentral:rRNA from 1 species
GACGAACGCUGGCGGCGUGCCUAAUACAUGCAAGUAGAACGCAGUUGCGAACGGGUGAGUAACGCGUAGGUAACUGCCUCAUAGCGGGGGAUAACUAUUGGAAACGUUAGCUAAUACCGCAUACUGUGAGAUGGACCUGCGUUGUAUUUGCUAGUUGGUGAGGUAAAGGCUCCACAAGGCGACGAUACAUAGCCGACCUGAGAGGGGGGACGGGCAAAAUGGGACUGGUGAACGGGCCAGACGUCUACGGGGAGCAACAGGUGGGGAUCAUCGGCAAUGGGCGGAAGUCUGACCGCGCAAAGGCGGGUGAGUGAAGGAGGUUUUCGGAGCGUAAAGCUCUUUUGUUAGGGGAGCGGUAACUAACCAUAAAGGGACGGCUAACUACGUGCCAGCAGCCGCGGUAAUAC